rnacentral:rRNA from 1 species
AACGAACGCUGGCGGCAUGCCUAAUACAUGCAAGUCGAACGAUAACUCUGGGUCCUUUCACCCACGGGUGCGUAACGCGAGGGAUCCUUCCCUCAGAUUUGAACUACCUCCCAGCAAGGGGUACUAAUACCGGACAAUGUCUUCGGCCCCAAGAUGUAUCGCCUUUGGAGGGGCUCGCGUUGAAUUAGCUAGUUGGUAGGGUAAAAGUCUACCAAGGCGACAUUGCAUAGCUGGUCUGCGAGGAUGAUCCGCCACACUCGGAGCGUCACACGGCGCAGACUCCUGCGGAUGGAAGCAAGGGGGAAUGUUGGACGAUGGGUGAAAGCCUGAGGCAGCAAUGCCGCGAGAGUGAUGAAGGCCUGAGGGAUGUAAAGGACUGUUAACCGUGAUGAUAAUGACAGUACCGUAAGAGAAAGCGACGGCUAACUCCGUG